rnacentral:rRNA from 1 species
GCAGCCGCCGCGGUAAUACAGAGGGUGCGAGCGUUAAUCGGAUUUACUGGGCGUAAAGCGUGCGUAGGCGGCUUUUUAAGUCGGAUGUGAAAUCCCUGAGCUUAACUUGGGAACUGCAUUUGAAACUGGCAAGCUAGAGUCUUGUAGAGGGGGGUAGAAUUCCAGGUGUAGCGGUGAAAUGCGUAGAGAUCGGGAGGAACAUCAGUGGCGAAGGCGGCCAUCUGGGACAACACUGACGCUGAGGCACGAAAGCGUGGGGAGCAAACAGGAUUAGAUACCCCCGUAGUCCCUGUCUCUUAUAC